CGGGCCCUACGGGGCGCAGCAGUGAGGAAUAUUGGUCAAUGGACGGGAGCCUGAACCAGCCAAGCCGCGUGAGGGAAGAAGGUACAGCGUAUCGUAAACCUCUUUUGUCAGGGAACAAAGGCGGGGACUAGUCCCCGGAUGAGGGUACCUGAAGAAAAAGCAUCGGCUAACUCCGUGCCAGCAGCCGCGGUAAUACGGAGGAUGCGAGCGUUAUCCGGAUUUAUUGGGAUUAAAGGGUGCGCAGGCGGCCUGUUAACUCAGC
rnacentral:rRNA from 1 species